CUUAAACACUGCGCCACCAGGCCAGCCCUGUUGGAAGAUUUUUAACCACUAAUUCAGUUUCUUUAAUAGAUAUAUGACUAUUCAGGAAUGGUUUUUCUUGAGUAAGCUUUGGUAGUUUGUGACUAUUUGUUACCUGUUGCUGCAUAGUAGAUUACCUCAAAAUUUAACAGCUUAAAACUAAGCAUUAAUUAUCUCAGUUUCUGUGGGUCAGGAAUUCAGGAGCACUUAGCUGGGUUGUUCUGGCUUGGGAUCUCUAAUGGGUCAAGAUGUCGGCUAGGGCUGCAGGAUCUGCUUGCAAGGCGUCUCACUCACAUGGCUUUCGGCAGGAGGACUCAGUUUCUCACUGAUUGUUACCAGAAAGGCUCAGCUUACUGCUGGUUGUUGGCAGGAAGCCUCAAUUUCCAACCACAUGGGCCUCUCCAAAGAGCUCCUUCAGUGUCCUAAAGACAUAAUUUCCUACCAGGUGAGUGAUCCAAGAGAGAGGGCAAGGAGGAAACCAUAGUGCCUUUUGUGGCCUAGUCUCAGAAUUCAAAUGCCUUCACUUCCACAUAUUCUAUUUGUUAAUACAGAACACUGAGUCAAGCCCACACUCAAAGGGAGGGAAUUAGACUCCACCUUUUAGGGAGAGUUAAAGAAUUUUGGACAUACUUUAAAACCACCGUGGUGUCUCUUGAAGACUUUGUCCAUUUCAUGUAAGCUGUGAAAUUUAUGGACAUAAAGUUUUUACUAAUAUUCCCUUUAAUUUUACAGCAAACAUCUAUAUACGUACUAUCUAGAUUUUACCAUUAACAUUUUACUCUACUUGUUUUAUCACAUAUCCAUCCCGCUACCUAUCCAUCUUUUUUUUCCUGUGCCUUUUUAACAUGAGCAUCAUUCUUCCCCUUUCCUUCUUUGUUCCCCACUGUGUCAAACCUAGUGCUUCUCUGGGUCUGAUGGGAACUCAGGAAUCUUUCUGCUCUGUGUGAACUCUGGGAAUUGUUUGAUUUAUAGUUCCUGGGGUCAUUCUCUCCCCAGACUUAGAGAGUUCCAGCCUAUGCAUGUGUGGCUUAGUAUCCAAGCAUAGACUUAAGGGGAAAUCCCCCCUACAGGUUUCUGGAACUCUUUUGCAGUUUAGCUUCUUCCUGUCUGGUACUCUGCCCUGCAAUUUGCAGCCACUUUUGCCUCCCUAGACUUACCUUCAUCUCCUCAACCCAGAGAGACUACCAUGGUCUGCUGGGGAUUCCCCCUCCCUGCACCUUGGCCUGGAAGGUGUCUCCAGGCAGAAAUAGAGGCAAUUAUAGGGCUCACUUCAUUUGUUUCUCUUCUCUCAGGGAUCAUGGACUGCACUGCCUGUUGUCCAAUGCCUGAAAACUGUUAUUUCAUGUUUUGUCCAGUUUUCUCAUUGUAUACAGUGGGAGGUUAGUCCAGUCCCUGUUCCUCCAGAAGCAGAAAUUGUAGUGUCUCACUGUUAAUUUCUAAUGCAACAUGGGUGUAAAAGCUCUGCUCUGGAUUAGAAAGACCUGAAUUUGAAUUCUAGCCCUGGAGUGGGUAAAUUGUUAGCCUCUCAAUACCCCAAUUUCCUUAUCUAUUAAAUGGAGAUAAUAAUAGUACCUGCGUCCUAAGAUUGUUGUGAAGAUUUACUAAAUUAGGCAUUGUAUUAGUUUACUGUGGCUGUAGCGUGGUAUACUCCAAUGAGAUGCACUUUGUUAAAAAUUGUAAUGAUCUCUUUCCUACAACCCUAAGUAGUAGCAAUUCAGAGGUGUUGGGGGUGAGGAGGUAUACUCUUUCCAGAAAUUCUCCCAGGGCAUGCCUAAGUUCUGCAUGUCUACUACAAAUACUUCAAAUAUUUAGAUGCCUCUUGAUUGCCUAACCUGCUGAAUCUAGCACCAUUUCCUAUAAAAACAAUAAAAGCCAGAAAGCAACCUUGCCUGGCCUAUAAGUCAAGUCUGAGCGCCAUAGAAACAAUCUGAAAGUCAAUUCAACCCCUAAAAGUGAAUCCAGCCUGGCCCCUCCAAAUAAGUAGCCAAACAUGAUGAUGUGCAAGCUUACCUGCCACAGAGUAACCUACCCCAGCUCCUGUGCACUUGGUCACCAAAGAGGAAUUACUAGACACAGAAAUAAACUGCUAGAGUGGGACCUGGUAUAGUAAGCGACUUAAUGCAGGCUUUCUCAACUUUGGUGCUGUGGACAUUUUGGGUUGGAUAAUUUUUUCUUGGGCGUCAGGGGGCGGAGCAGCUGUUUCCUGUGUGUUGUAGGAUAUUUAGCAGCAUCCCUGACCUCUAUUCACUAGAUGCCAGUGGCACUCCUCCCUCCAAGUUAUGACAACCAAAAAUAUCUCCGGGCAUUGCCAAAUGUCUCCUGGGGAAUAAAAUAAUCCCUAUUUGAGAACUACUAACUUAAUGAUUAAAAGUCCAUAUCUUUUAUUUGUGGAUCAUGGGAAGAUACAGCAAUUGUACGUAUUGUACUAAAUACUGCUACUCUUAAAGCCACAGAUCCAGAAUAUCUUUCCCCAUAUAAAAAUUUCCUUCUCACCAAGUCCAUCGCCUUGUCACAGCACAGCAAUCACCAUCUGAGUGUUUAAUAAAUAUUUUUGAUACUUAAUCACUUCAUUCUUCUUGUUAGAUACAUAUUAGGCUUCCUUUCCUGUCCAGGUGUUAUAUGUUUUGUGGCACACAUCUAUCAGUUUAAAUCUACUUUUGUAGUACAAGUUAUAAUUAUAUCUUUAUUCUACUUUUUAAACAUUGUUAUCUCUGAUGUGCCCAUUUAUUCAUUUACUUUUACAGCAUUUGAAUUUUUUAGCUUCUGGUUUAUAUUAGCCUUGAAGGAGAGUUAGAGAAGAUUUUCCUUUAUGGUAUCAUAAGCUGCUUCAGGGGACAGCUGAUAUAUCAAACGGGCAACUGCAGGCAGGCACCAGACAGGGUAGACUAGCUCUGUUAAAAGUGUGAAUGGGACUGGAAUUUCUAGCCGCUUCCCUACUCAUAUAAUCAGAUCUGCUUUUUUUCGGAAGGUGAGAGGAAGAGUCCUUCACUGGCCUAGCAACCCCACGGCACAUCUUCAGUUGCAAUGUCCUGAAGUGUCUCCAAGUGUUCCUUUAAUAUGAAGUUUUUUGCCAGCAUCACUUCUCCUGGGGUACCUUCAUGCUUUUUGUCAGCCAUCACUUUCCUCACUUAAGUCACGAAGUUCACCGGCACCAAGUUCCAUUGGCUGCAUAUCCACAGUCUCUCCAAUGGUGGCAGUGUCAACAUUUCCACGAUAUGAUCCCUGAGGAAAUGUGUUCACAUGGACAAGUAGAUGAGAAGGACAGGAAUUUUAUGAUAGCAAUGCCACUCAUUUCGUGGAUUCUUUCCAAGUUAUUUGUCAAAAAUGUUCUUUGACUUUUGCUGAAAACAAGAAAUUGGAAACUU